AGUGAACGCUGGCGGUAGGCCUAACACAUGCAAGUCGAACGGCAGCACAGUAAGAGCUUGCUCUUACGGGUGGCGAGUGGCGGACGGGUGAGGAAUACAUCGGAAUCUACUUUUUCGUGGGGGAAACGUAGGGAAACUUACGCUAAUACCGCAUACGACCUACGGGUGAAAGCAGGGGAUCUUCGGACCUUGCGCGAUUGAAUGAGCCGAUGUCGGAUUAGCUAGUUGGCGGGGUAAAGGCCCACCAAGGCGACGAUCCGUAGCUGGUCUGAGAGGAUGAUCAGCCACACUGGAACUGAGACACGGUCCAGACUCCUACGAGAGGCAGCAGUAGGGAAUAUUGGACAAUGGGCGCAAGCCUGAUCCAGCCAUACCGCGUGGGUGAAGAAGGCCUUCGGGUUGUAAAGCCCUUUUGUUGGGAAAGAAAAGCAGCAGGUUAAUACCCCGCUGUUCUGACGGUACCCAAAGAAUAAGCACCGGCUAACUUCGUG
rnacentral:rRNA from 1 species